CGGUGAAUACGUUCCCGGGCCUUGUACACACCGCCCGUCAAGCCAUGGGAGUUGGGGGUACCUAAAGUCCAUCGACCGUAAGGAGUGGCCUAGGGUAAAACCGAUGACUGGGGCU
rnacentral:rRNA from 1 species